CCUUUUGACUUUCUGGUUUUUCAUAAUGACUUGACAGGUGACAUGGUGACACUUAAGUUUUGGGCUUGUGUCUAGCUUACCUUUGCUAACCUUCUGUGGCACAUUGGCUAAUGUGCAUUGAAUAGUCGCUGUGGCAGUUCUCUGUGCUUCAUUCUUGGAAGCUGUGUUGGAUACUUUUCUUAUCACAGUGACAGAAUUCCCGACUGCCACAACCUCAGGGAAAUGGGGUGCUUUGGGUUCAUGAUUUGAGGGCACAGCCCAGCUACCUCACAGUACUGCUGCCUUGUCACCCCACUGUGAUGGACUGUACCCACAAAAACAACAAACACCUCCCCACACCAAAAGUACCCCAAAAAACUGUGUAUUUGCUGCUAUCCCAAAGGCCUACCUCAGCUCUGAUAGAACUUUCUUCAGCUAAUCGAAGCACACUCUGCUCGUACACCCUACAUCUCAGAAGGCCAUCUGGAGGAAUCGUGUUAGUAAUGACUGAUCUCGCCAACUUGACUGCAUUUGAAUCUUCAUGUCUCUUUGCUUUCUGGGAAGCUUAGUAUCUAGGUGUAACCCUUGCCCUGGAGUGAGCUCCUGUCUGAUGACCGCGAUCACAGGGCAUUCCUUGCGACCUUUGGUAUUUAUGUGCAAUAACUAAGUAACUUCCCUGCGUCAGUUGCCUGUGAGUGGGAAGUGGGUCAUCAAAUUGUUCUCCAACCGUUAUUGCCAUUACAGUACCAGGGACUAAUUAAGAUAGAGUGUGAGAUAGAAGGCAUAUAUAGGUGUGCAGAAUUAAAAUAAUAAAGGUACUUUUUUAAAUGUGUAGAGGAAGUGGCUGGACUGAGCUACAGUGUUGGCCAUCUUGGCCUGGGUAGUCUUUAGCAGAUACUGUAGAGCUCACAUUCGGAGGUGUGCUGACAUAAGAUGCGUUGUGCUGAAAUGUAAGUCUCUGAUGUAGGAUUGCUGAUAUGUAAAGAUGUGCUUUCUGUUAGGGUGAAUUACAUUAAAAAUCAGUACAACUUAAAGUCCAAGAAUUUAGAAACUAAAUAACAUGUUUUAAAUAAUCAUGGGUCAAAGAAAAAGUCUGAAAUGGACUUUGAAAUUAUUCUGAAAUAAAUACUCCUGAGAAGACAACAUACUAAAAUUUACAGGCAGCAGCAGAACAGACAACUCUGAAUGCUGAUAGAGAAGCCAUCUUUUUGGGGAGAUGGGGUGGAGUUUGUGACGGGGUUUCUCUGUAUAGUUCUGGCUGUCCUGGAACUCAAAUUCAGAGAUCCUCCUCCUUCUGCCUCCUGAGUGCUGGGAAUAAAGGUGUGCACCACUA